UACGGGGGGGGCAAGCGUUGUUCGGAAUUACUGGGCGUAAAGGCUCGUAGGUGGCCAACUAAGUCAGACGUGAAAUCCCCAGGCUUAACCUGGGAACUGCGUCUGAUACUGGAUGGCUUGAAUUCGGGAGAGGGAUGCAGAAUUCCAGGUUGUAGCGGUUGAAAUACGUAGAUAUCUGGAGGAAUACCGGUGGCGAAGGCGGC
rnacentral:rRNA from 1 species